rnacentral:rRNA from 1 species
CCUACGGGCGGCAGCAGUGGGGAAUAUUGGACAAUGGGGGCAACCCUGAUCCAGCCAUGCCGCGUGUGUGAAGAAGGCCCUCGGGUUGUAAAGCACUUUCAGUGAGGAAGAACGCCUGGUGGUUAAUACCCAUCAGGAAAGACAUCACUCACAGAAGAAGCACCGGCUAACUCCGUGCCAGCAGCCGCGGUAAUACGGAGGGUGCGAGCGUUAAUCGGAAUUACUGGGCGUAAAGCGCGCGUAGGUGGCUUGAUAAGCCGGUUGUGAAAGCCCCGGGCUCAACCUGGGAACGGCAUCCGGAACUGUCAAGCUAGAGGGCAGGAGAGGAAGGUAGAAUUCCCGGUGGAGCGGUGAAAUGCGUAGAGAUCGGGAGGAAUACCAGUGGCGAAGGCGGCCUUCUGGACUGACACUGACACUGAGGUGCGAAAGCGUGGGUAGCCAACAGGAUUAGAUACCCGUGUAGUC